CUAUCAAACUUCACAAGCUUGAUAUUUGAGGCAUUGGUUCCUUCACUAAGGAACUCUUUUUUCAAAAAAUAUGCCUUACUACUGAUGAACACCUUUUGUUCAUCAGUCUGAUAGAAGUAAUACCCCUUAGUCUCUUUCGGGUACCCUAUAAAUAAAUAUUUUCAGACCUAGGUCCGAGCUUGUCUAUUUUUAAAUGCUUGAUAUAAGUGAAACAUCUCCAAAUC
rnacentral:lncRNA from 1 species